AAUCAACGCUGGCGGCGUGCCUAACACAUGCAAGUCGAACGCGAAAGGGGGCUUCGGCUCCUAAGUAGAGUGGCGUCCGGGUGAGUAACACGUAGGUAAUCUGCCUUCGGGUGGGGAAUAACCAGUCGAAAGAUUGGCUAAUACCGCAUAAUGCAGCGGCACCUAAUGGUGAUUAGUUGUUAAAGCGGGGGGAUCGUAAGACCUCGCGCCUGAAGAGGAGCCUGCGGCAGAUUAGCUAGUUGGUGAGGUAAUGGCUCACCAAGGCUUCGAUCUGUAGCUGGUCUGAGAGGACGGCCAGCCACACUGGCACUGACACACGGGCCAGACUCCUACGGGAGGCAGCAGUGGGGAAUUUUUGGGCAAUGGGCGAAAGCCUGACCCAGCGAUGCCGCGUGUGUGAAGAAGGCCUGCGGGUUGUAAAGCAC
rnacentral:rRNA from 1 species